rnacentral:lncRNA from 1 species
UAAAUAAACCAAACAAAUUAUACUUUAUGAAUUUAAAUUGUACAAGAAUAAAAAAGGUAAUUAGAGCUUUAGAAGAUGAAAUAUAAUCUGGGUAUUAUAAUAUAGAGUAAAAAAUAAAACAAAGUUUUAAAUUAUGAGAAAUGGAAGAUAAUUUGGGAAUAGAAUGACCAGACAAAAUAUCUGAUUAAAGAAGUCUCAGAAAGAUGAUACUUUCA